rnacentral:rRNA from 1 species
UGGGGAAUUUUGGACAAUGGGCGAAAGCCUGAUCCAGCAAUGCCGCGUGUGUGAAGAAGGCCUUCGGGUUGUAAAGCACUUUUGUCCGGAAAGAAAUCCUUGGCUCUAAUACAGUCGGGGGAUGACGGUACCGGAAGAAUAAGCACCGGCUAACUACGUGCCAGCAGCCGCGGUAAUACGUAGGGUGCAAGCGUUAAUCGGAAUUACUGGGCGUAAGCGUGCGCAGGCGGUUUGCUAAGACCGAUGUGAAAUCCCCGGGCUCAACCUGGGAACUGCAUUGGUGACUGGCAGGCUAGAGUAUGGCAGAGGGGGGUAGAAUUCCACGUGUAGCAGUGAAAUGCGUAGAGAUGUGGAGGAAUACCGAUGGCGAAGGCAGCCCCCUGGGCCAAUACUGACGCUCAUGCACGAAAGCGUGGGGAGCAAACAGGAUUAGAUACCCUGGUAGUCCACGCCCUAAACGAUGUCAACUAGUUGUUGGGGAUUCAUUUCCUUAGUAACGUAGCUAACGCGUGAAGUUGACCGCC